rnacentral:misc_RNA from 1 species
GUUGCCUCGGCGGAUCAGCCCGCGCCCCGUAAAACGGGACGGCCCGCCCGAGGACCCCUAAACUCUGUUUUUAGUGGAACUUCUGAGUAAAACAAACAAAUAAAUCAAAACUUUCAACAACGGAUCUCUUGGUUCUGGCAUCGAUGAAGAACGCAGCAAAAUGCGAUAAGUAAUGUGAAUUGCAGAAUUCAGUGAAUCAUCGAAUCUUUGAACGCACAUUGCGCCCGCCAGUAUUCUGGCGGGCAUGCCUGUUCGAGCGUCAUUUCAACCCUCAAGCUCAGCUUGGUGUUGGGACUCGCGGUAACCCGCGUUCCCCAAAUCGAUUGGCGGUCACGUCGAGCUUCCAUAGCGUAGUAAUCAUACACCUCGUUACUGGUAAUCGUCGCGGCCACGCCGUUAAACCCCAACUUCUGAAUGUUGACCUCGGAUCAGGUAGGAAUACCCGCUGAACUUAAGCAUAUCAAUAAGCGGAGGAA